GGCCUCGGAGGGGCGGAGCCGCCGCUGUUGCUGCCGCUGCCGCCGCAGCCCCGGUUGGGAUUUGAAAGAUUAAAAACUACCGGUGGAGAGGGCGACGGCGUUGAAUGUGUGGCGGAAGCGCUGGGGGCCGCGGCUCGGCGCGGGGCCGGGCAGCCGGCGGCGUCUCCACACCAUGAAUUACCCGGGCCGCGGGUCUCCGCGGAGCCCUGAGCAUAACGGCCGGGGCGGCGGCAACGCAGCCUGGGAGCUGGGCUCAGAUGCGGAGCCGGCGUUCGGCGGCGGCGUGUGCUGCUUCGACCACCUGCCCGGCGGGGACCCGGGCGACGGCGAGGUGCCCCUGGCCCUGCUGCGCGGAGAGCCCGGGCUGCACUUGGCGCCGGGCGCGGAGGACCACAACCACCACCUGACGCUCGACUCCUGUCUCAGUGAUGAGACCUACGACUUCAGCUCCGCGGAGUCCGGUUCUUCGCUGCGCUACUACAGCGAAGGCGAGAGUGGCGGCGGCGGCAGUUCCUCGUCGCUGCACCCGCCGCCCCAGCCGCCGCUGGUCCCGUCGAGCGCUGGGGGCAGCGGGGCGGCGGGAGGAGGGCUCGGGGAGAGGAAGCGCACCCGGCCUGGCGGCGCGGCCGCCCGGCAUCGCUACGAGGUAGUGACCGAGCUUGGCCCGGAGGAGGUUCGCUGGUUCUACAAGGAGGACAAGAAGACCUGGAAGCCCUUCAUCGGCUAUGACUCGCUCCGCAUCGAGCUCGCUUUCCGAACGCUGCUGCAGGCCACGGGUGGCCUGCCCCGGGCCGGGGACCCGGACGGCAACCCUGUGUGCGGCCCAGCCUCCAGCUCGGGGGAGGACGACGAUGAGGACCGCGUCUGCGGCUUCUGCCCGCGCGGCGCGGGGCACGAGCCCGAGAUGGAGGAGCUGGUGAACAUCGAGCGGGUGUGUGUGCGGGGCGGCCUGUACGAGGUGGAUGUGACCCAAGGAGAGUGCUACCCGGUGUACUGGAACCAGGCUGAUAAAAUACCAGUAAUGCGUGGACAGUGGUUUAUUGAUGGCACUUGGCAGCCUCUAGAAGAAGAAGAAAGUAAUUUAAUUGAGCAAGAACAUCUCAGCUGUUUUAGAGGUCAGCAGAUGCAGGAAAAUUUUGAUAUUGAAGUGUCAAAAUCCAUAGAUGGAAAAGAUGUUGUCUACCACCUCCCUCCCUUCUCCCUCCCUUCUCUGUUCAAAUGGAGAGGAUAUAAGGAGAGUACAGAUGCGGCAGGUCUUAAGCGAAAGCGUUCUCAAGCUAUUCAUAGUUUCAAGUUGAGUAGAAAUCAUGUGGACUGGCACAGUGUGGAUGAAGUGUAUCUUUACAGUGAUGCAACAACUUCUAAAAUUGCAAGGACAGUUACCCAAAAACUGGGAUUUUCUAAAGCAUCAAGUAGUGGGACUAGACUUCAUAGAGGUUAUGUAGAAGAAGCCACAUUAGAAGACAAGCCAUCACAGACUACUCAUAUUGUAUUUGUUGUGCACGGCAUUGGACAGAAAAUGGACCAAGGAAGAAUUAUCAAAAAUACGGCCAUGAUGAGAGAAGCUGCAAGAAAAAUAGAAGAAAGGCAUUUUUCCAACCAUGCAACACAUGUUGAAUUUCUGCCUGUUGAGUGGCGGUCAAAACUUACUCUUGAUGGAGACACUGUUGAUUCCAUUACUCCUGACAAAGUACGCGGUUUAAGGGAUAUGUUGAACAGCAGUGCAAUGGACAUAAUGUAUUAUACUAGCCCACUUUAUAGAGAUGAACUAGUUAAAGGCCUUCAGCAAGAGCUGAACCGAUUAUAUUCCCUUUUCUGUUCUCGGAAUCCAGACUUUGAAGAAAAAGGGGGUAAAGUCUCAAUAGUGUCACAUUCCUUGGGAUGUGUAAUCACUUAUGACAUAAUGACUGGCUGGAAUCCAGUUCGACUCUAUGAACAGUUGCUACAGAAGGAAGAAGAGUUGCCUGAUGAACGAUGGAUGAGCUAUGAAGAACGACAUCUACUGGAUGAACUCUAUAUAACAAAGCGACGACUGAGAGAAAUAGAAGAACGGCUACAUGGAUUGAAGGCGUCAUCCAUGACACAAACACCUGCCUUAAAAUUUAAGGUUGAGAAUUUCUUCUGCAUGGGAUCCCCAUUAGCGGUUUUCUUGGCAUUGCGUGGCAUCCGCCCAGGAAACACUGGAAGUCAAGACCAUAUUUUGCCCAGAGAGAUUUGUAAUCGGUUACUGAAUAUUUUUCAUCCAACAGAUCCAGUGGCUUAUAGAUUAGAACCAUUAAUACUGAAACACUACAGCAACAUUUCACCUGUCCAGAUCCACUGGUAUAAUACUUCUAAUCCUCUACCUUAUGAGCAUAUGAAGCCAAGCUUUCUCCACCCAGCAAAAGAACCUACCUCAAUUUCAGAGAAUGAAGGCAUUUCAACAAUACCAAGCCCUGUGACCUCACCAGUCUUGUCCCGUCGACACUACGGGGAAUCUAUAACAAACAUAGGCAAAGCAAGCAUAUUAGGGGCUGCUAGCAUUGGAAAGGGCCUUGGAGGGAUGUUGUUCUCGAGAUUUGGACGCUCAUCUACAUCACAGCCAUCUGAGACAUCAAAAGACUCAAUAGAAGACGAGAAGAAGUCACUUGGCUCGCUUCCCACUACCACUGUUGCAACACAGACCCUUCCACAUAGCAGUUCUGGCUUUCUGGAUUCUGCAUAUUUCAGACUUCAGGAAUCGUUCUUUAAUCUCCCACAACUUCUUUUUCCGGAAAAUGUAAUGCAGAAUAAAGAUAAUACCCUCGGUAUGGUAUAUGUCAGGAAUAGCACUCAGAGUACAAUAAAAAUGAUCCACUUAUAGGUCUUCUGCUCACUGAAAACUUGCAUCAGUUCUUCUAUGAGAUCAGCUUGAAUGUUAACCAUUACAGACCAUUUGAUAUGUAAUUUUUUCCUGUAUAUUCUAACCUUAAAUAGUAGGGGUCCUGAAACCCAAGUAUCGAUUAGUCCCUUAGUGUGCUAAAAUGAUACUCCUGUACAUUCCUACAAAGAAGCAACCUUUUGGAGAGGGAAGAAAAGCAUGAGGUCAUCUUCCUCCUUUAUUGUCCCAAAGGCUGCAAAGAGGUUCACUGUUCUUUACAUGUAAGACAUUUAGAUAUAAAGUCUCAUAGUGUAAGAAAUGUAAUUAUUCCUAGGUAUUUCAGGUAUCAGUACCGCUACUACUUAGGGCUGUGCGUGUGCCCUAGCUGCUGCUAUCUGGUUUCAACACAAAUAUUUUUUUCUUUAAGAAGGGUAGGUUUGCAUUUAAAAAUUAGCAUUAUUGGAUACAAGAGAUAUUUUCAGUCUCUUAAUUUUUAGCAGAUUCUAAAUGUACCACUAAGGAUUAAUCUUAGUUUAAAAUCAUUUUUAUCAUUAACUUUCCUUCCUUUUUCCACAGCUCCUCUCCUUUUCCUUUUUUUUUUUUUUUUUUUUUUUAAUAUUGGAUUUUGUCUUUAACAAAAAAUGUUACAGGUUUUUCCUUGGAUUUUUAACCACAUUUAAUUUUACAACUUCUCUAUGUAAUUGCUAAUUUCCAUACAUAUUUUUUCUGUUUUCAAAAAAACUUCCUUGAUAAAAAUUCCAAAACAGUAUUUUAAUAUAACAAACUGAUUUGUGUUUUUAUGCUCCCUAGCAACAGUUUGUUUUGAUGAAACUUCAUGAAUUUCCCUUAAGGAAUGAUCUUAUAUAAGUGCUCUCUCUGCCCCCUGCUUAUGUAAUAGUUAGUCACAUCCAUGAAGAAAUUAUUUGACUUUGGUUUUUGCAUAUUUAAUUCAACACAGAAGUUAAUCCACUCAUUUAUCCUGCGUUCAAGUAGCCCUUACACGUAUUAUCUUAAAACCAUCUCAGCUAUCUAAACAUUAACUACACCAAACUGAUUCAAAUGGUAAUGUGUGUAUGGCUUCUAUUUUAUUUCUCUUCCCCUACUUUUUUGCAUUUAACAAUUAUUUAUUAAAUGUUUACCAUGAGCCAAAGUACCAAGAUAGCCACUAGAAAAGAUACCAAAAUGAAACAGACUUCAGUACUGCCCAUAAAGAUACUAAAUGCUAGUGUGGAAAUUGAGCAUUUUCUAGAGAAUAUAUAUUUACCUAGUAGAGAAGUAGAUUGCUACAUAAAUAUUUAUAACAUAUGGUAGAUGUGAUGAGCCACAUAACAAAGGUACUGGUAAAGGACUCCGUCAGUUCUAGGGAAUGAGAAAAUGCUUUCACCUCGAAAAAUUAUAAAAGGCUCUGUGGAGGUAGAAUUUGGACACACGGUGAUGAAAAGACAUUGCAGGGAGAAGAAACAGCAUACGGAAAAGCACAGGGUAUGUAGAGGUAUGUAUGUAUGUAGUUAGUUUUCUUGAGAAGAGCCAAGGAUGAAUAGAAGGGAAUAGUUCUGAAUGUGAUUGGAAAAGUUUCUUAAACCAGAUUGUAGAGGGCCAUCUCCUGGAGUUUUUUUGUAUUCAAGAUUUACCCACAAAGCCCAUCUGUUAUCAAACAUUAGGUAUUUGAAUAUCUUUCAGGACAGAUUAGUGUUGGGAAAUUAUUUUGGCAGAUAUGAAAACUGAAUAUAAUAUCAAGGACAGAGAAUAUCCUCAAAUAUAUUUGAAAUUAUAACCGUUCACAAAAUGUAAAUAUUCCUUGAUGUCAAACACCUAACCACAUGAAAUGUAUAGUUGCUCUGAGGCAACGCAGAAAUAACAAGACAUAAUUUACCCAGUAAGAACUCAGCAUAAUCUUUUUUACUAUGAAAGAAGCUUUUGCUAGUCAUUUGAAAACACAACUUGCUUUACUGGUAUUUUUCUUGGUGUCUGCUGUAGCCAAAAAUCAUGCAAUUAUGACCAAAAUUAAUACUUACAAAUAAGACCACUUUUAAGAUUCAUUAAGUUUUUGAAAAUUUCUCUCCAAGGAAGUUAAAGCCAUUAAGCAAUAGAAACCUGUCCAAUUCGUACACAUUUUAAGACUAAGAUGUGCACUUCCUAUUCACAUGUGUUAUGUUUUCUAAUACAGUAUCCAUGUGGACAAGCCUUGUGCAGAGAAUUCUCUGAUGAAAGCACAGUCCUGAUGACACUUCACUCCUACAUACUUCAUACACUGCAAACAUUCUCUCUGGGGAAUAGGAAGGGAACUAGGCCUCUGUGCCAGACUCCCCAGAAAAGAAAAUAACCCAUGCUUUAAGGCAGUAUAAGGCAACUGCUGAUGAUUGAUAAGAUCCCACAGUAUUUUUUCUCAGUUUCACUUCUCUUCAGUUCAGGAUCUCAUUCCUUUCUUUGUGGAUAGAGGAAUUCUAGCACUUAAGGCACUCAAAAGAGAGAAAAAAGGGACAGAGUGAUGAUAUUAUGUUUUCCUUUCUCUUUGACCUAAUUCAGUGAGUAAAACUAGGAAAAAACUACCCGCUGUGUUGUGCCACUCAUUUUUGAUGUGCUAAUAUUAAGAAAAUAGGUCCAAGGCAACUCCAUAUAGAUUUAGGCCUAUUUGGACCAAGAGCUCAUCUCACGGCACAUAAAGAAUGGUAACUGCCAUCUAGACCCUUGCUCCCUUGGGAAUCCUGUGACCUACAUAAAAGGAAGAGAUGUGAGAUGUAGGCCCACCUUAUUCCAUCCAUCCGCCUGCAGAACCAGCACCUGUGAGGUCACCUGCACUGGCAACCACACUACCUGUUGUAAACCUUGGAAGGAGGAUGAGAGACUAAAACAGAUUCAUCAGUGGAAUUGGAUCACAGAAUUGACUUUGAACUCCGAGAAGGCCUUGUGGAAAGCCGCUAUUGGUCAGCUGUCACAUCUCAUACCGCCUAUUGGUCAUCCUUGGAUGUUGCCCUCUUUCUUUUAACCUU